AUGUCUAACAAAAUGUUGACUUGAUCAUUUCAUCAAGAACUCAUCACAAGUUGGAACUAGUGGUCAACAUUGGGACAAUGCAGCCCAAAAUAACAGGGCUGAAUAUUUUCAUGGAGUGAGCAAGACCUGCCAGCAGAGCUCACUGGAGCAGGGAGACAUCCCGUCAUCCUUUUGGCGCCUGACAAAAUCAUCACACCAGCCGAAGUUGCUGUGCAGAGGGAGGAGAUCGUCCGAGCAUCAGGCCUCAUCCCGUCACAGAGGAAGGGUAUC